rnacentral:rRNA from 1 species
UACGUAGGUGGCAAGCGUUGUCCGGAUUUACUGGGCGUAAAGAGCGCGCAGGCGGUCGUUCAAGUCGCGUGUGAAAGCCCCCGGCUCAACUGGGGAGGGUCACGCGAUACUGAUCGACUCGAAGGCAGGAGAGGGAAGUGGAAUUCCCGGUGUAGCGGUGAAAUGCGUAGAGAUCGGGAGGAACACCUGUGGCGAAAGCGGCGCACUGGACCAUAACUGACGCUGAGGCGCGAAAGCUAGGGGAGCAAACAGG